UACGUAUGGUGCAAGCGUUAUCCGGAUUUACUGGGUGUAAAGGGGGCGCAGGCGGCACGGCAAGCCUGAUGUGAAAGCCCGCGGCCCAACCGCGGGACUGCAUUGGGAACUACCGGGCUGGAGUGCCGGAGAGGUAGGCGGAAUUCCUAGUGUAGCGGUGAAAUGCGUAGAUAUUAGGAGGAACACCAGUGGCGAAGGCGGCCUACUGGACGGUGACUGACGCUGAGGCUCGAAAGCGUGGGGAGCGAACAGG
rnacentral:rRNA from 1 species